rnacentral:rRNA from 1 species
AGCCAUCCUUUAAAGAAAGCGUAACAGCUCACUGGUCAAGCGCUCCUGCGCGGAAAAUGUAACGGGGCUUAAGUGAUACACCGAAGCUGCGGAUUCGAUCUUUGAUCGAGUGGUAGCGGAGCGUUCCGUAGGCCGAUGAAGGUGGACCCGCGAGGGCCGCUGGAGGUAUCGGAAGUGAGAAUGCUGACAUGAGUAGCGAUAAAGAGUGUGAGAGACACUCUCGCCGAAAGUCCAAGGGUUCCUGCGCAAUGCUAAUCAGCGCAGGGUUAGUCGGCCCCUAAGGCGAGGCAGAAAUGCGUAGUCGAUGGGAAGCAGGUUAAUAUUCCUGCACCAGUGGGUAGUGACGGAUCUCGUGUGUCGUCAGUCCUUAUCGGAUUGAACUGGCGGCGAAGAGGUCCCUGGAAAUAGCUCCCACGUGAGACCGUACCCCAAACCGACACAG